rnacentral:rRNA from 1 species
AGAGUUUGAUCCUGGCUCAGGACGAACGCUGGCGGCGUGCCUAAUACAUGCAAGUCGAGCGGACAGAUGGGAGCUUGCUCCCUGAUGUUAGCGGCGGACGGGUGAGUAACACGUGGGUAACCUGCCUGUAAGACUGGGAUAACUCCGGGAAACCGGGGCUAAUACCGGAUGCUUGUUUGAACCGCAUGGUUCAGACAUAAAAGGUGGCUUCGGCUACCACUUACAGAUGGACCCGCGGCGCAUUAGCUAGUUGGUGAGGUAACGGCUCACCAAGGCGACGAUGCGUAGCCGACCUGAGAGGGUGAUCGGCCACACUGGGACUGAGACACGGCCCAGACUCCUACGGGAGGCAGCAGUAGGGAAUCUUCGGCAAUGGGGGCAACCCUGACCGAGCAACGCCGCGUGAGUGAAGAAGGUUUUCGGAUCGUAAAGCUCUGUUGUAAGUCAAGAACGAGUGUGAGAGUGGAAAGUUCACACUGUGACGGUAGCUUACCAGAAAGGGACGGCUAACUACGUGCCAGCAGCCGCGGUAAUACGUAGGUCCCGAGCGUUGUCCGGAUUUAUUGGGCGUAAAGCGAGCGCAGGCGGUUUGAUAAGUCUGAAGUUAAAGGCUGUGGCUCAACCAUAGUUCGCUUUGGAAACUGUCAAACUUGAGUGCAGAAGGGGAGAGUGGAAUUCCAUGUGUAGCGGUGAAAUGCGUAGAUAUAUGGAGGAACACCGGUGGCGAAAGCGGCUCUCUGGUCUGUAACUGACGCUGAGGCUCGAAAGCGUGGGUAGCGAACAGGAUUAGAUACCCUUGUAGUCCAGAAGUGUUAGUAACCGC